GGAACCGGAGCCAUUGCUUGGAAACCGGGUAUCGGGGAUGAGUCAAGGUACGCUAGUUUAAGCUCCUUCUUACUGACAUAAUUGACCACAGUUUUGCAGUGGAAUGGAUGCAGGACUUCGAGACUUUUCAGGAUGCCCUGAAUCAAGAGACCUCCUAUGUCAGUAACCUGACUCGUUCUAUGAGUUUAGUGUUGGAUGAAUUUUACAGUUCACUGAAGGUCAUAUUUAUCUGCCUGUCAGGACUGUUGGAGCGCUGGAUGGAGAGCAGGUCAUAUGAAGAGGAUUACAGAGUAAAAGGCAGCUUGUACUUAAGUGCAGGGAAAGUAUAAAUAUUGAUAUAUAUUGGCACAGUGCCUAGCCUUAAUGCUUAAAAUCCUUUGGAGAGCUGUCUGCAUAUUUACUGUAUUAAUGAGCAAAUGCAAGGCUGUGUUGGGAAAGGUCUUCCAUUUGGAAGUCAGUAGUUGAGACUGUCUUGCCUAUGAAAAAGAGGGAGAAUUUUCAUUAGAGGAUGUAGGAUUCUGGCUGGUAAUAGUCUUAAUUAAAGGUAUUUUUAGAUAACUGAUUUAAUGCAAGCAGAACAAAUGGCCAGAAGUGUAAUGAGAGACAAGUUGACAUUAGAAAGUAGAUGUGCAUUUUGAAUGUAUUGUCAUAGCAACUGAUUAAAUUCUCCAUCUCUUGCUGUUUUGGGGACCUUUUAAAUGUGCUUUGGCUAAAUAAAAAAUAUUAGACUAUUUCAGAGCCAAAAGGUCAGUUCUUGUUGUCUAUUUUGCACUUUAAUUCUAGUACACUGAUACUUGCUAACCACUUAUAACCCUAGAUGCAGAAUGAGAACUUGGGUUAUUAACA